rnacentral:rRNA from 1 species
AUUGAACGCUGGCGGCAGGCCUAACACAUGCAAGUCGAACGAGUGGCGGACGGGUGAGUAAUGUCUGGGAAACUGCCUGAUGGAGGGGGAUAACUACUGGAAACGGAAGCAAAUACCGCAUACCAUCGGAUGUGCCCAGAUGGGAUUAGCUAGUAGGUGGGGUAACGGCUCACCUAGGCGACGAUCCCUAGCUGGUCUGAGAGGAUGACCAGCCACACUGGGACUGAGACACGGUCCAGACUCCUACGGGAGGCAGCAGUGGGGAAUAGUGCACAAUGGGCGCAAGCCUGAUGCAGCCAUGCCGCGUGUAUGAAGAAGGCCUUCGGGUUGUAAAGUACUUUCGGCGGGGAGGCGUUACCCGAAGAAGAAGCACCGGCUAACUCCGUGCCAGCAGCCGCGGUAAUAC